rnacentral:rRNA from 1 species
UUUUUAUGGAGAGUUUGAUCCUGGCUCAGGAUGAACGCUGGCGGCGUGCCUAAUACAUGCAAGUCGAGCGAACAGACGAGGAGCUUGCUCCUCUGACGUUAGCGGCGGACGGGUGAGUAACACGUGGAUAACCUACCUAUAAGACUGGGAUAACUUCGGGAAACCGGAGCUAAUACCGGAUAACAUAUUGAACCGCAUGGUUCAAUAGUGAAAGACGGUUUUGCUGUCACUUAUAGAUGGAUCCGCGCCGCAUUAGCUAGUUGGUAAGGUAACGGCUUACCAAGGCAACGAUGCGUAGCCGACCUGAGAGGGUGAUCGGCCACACUGGAACUGAGACACGGUCCAGACUCCUACGGGAGGCAGCAGUAGGGAAUCUUCCGCAAUGGGCGAAAGCCUGACGGAGCAACGCCGCGUGAGUGAUGAAGGUCUUCGGAUCGUAAAACUCUGUUAUUAGGGAAGAACAAAUGUGUAAGUAACUAUGCACGUCUUGACGGUACCUAAUCAGAAAGCCACGGCUAACUACGUGCC